ensembl:lncRNA
GAGCAAAAAAAACAAGGCAUCAGUAUUGUUGAGUAUUAGCUUGUGCCUGGUCCGGGGGCUGAGUAAGUAUUUGCCUUCCAGUUUGGGGCUAGGGCGGGGGUCGCGCAAUCCGGAAACUGCAUCUCUUCCUCUCUCUCUAUCUCCGCAAAUAUUUGGGGGGCAGGGUUCCAAGGCCUAGUCAGGGAAGGUCCCCCACCCCCUCUGCCAUCCGCGGAACUUGCAGAAGUUGCCCAAGGCCCAGAGUGUGCUUGUGUCUGCCUCCCCCUGCCCUGCCCAGCCCCCCAAGAUUGGACUUCCGCACCCCCAUGCCCGUGGGGGCUAGGGGGGCCUUGGAGCUUCGACUGCAACAUACUGCAACAUUGCAUUCGGAGACCUAGCUUCUAUUGUCAUACAUGGGGCUGGGGCCCAGCCAGGCCUUUCUCAUGGAGAGAGCGCAGGCCUUGUGGCUUAGGUUGGUUUGCCGGCCUGGUCGGCCUGGUGGCUGGACCCAGGCCCAGCCCAGGGGAAGGGUGUCAGCGGGUCUGGUCCAGGACUCCGGAGUUUCCGGCCUGCGGCAGAGCUCACCAGGCUGUGGGGAAGCGGUGGAAAUGGGGGCGGUCCAACCUGCUUGGGUCUUCCUGAAGUGGCUCCUGGGACAAGGCCCUCACAAGUCUCCUUUCCCGGCCACACCUUCCAGGUCCCAGGCAGCCGCUUGUGCUGCGUGGGCGUGGGCGCUGUUCACACUCACUUUGCAGGUGGGUUGGCUGUGAUUUUGGCCCCUAAUAAAAAAAUGGCGGCACAGUGGGGCAGUGCGGGAGUGGCACGGUUCUAACACUGUGGGGAGCUCUGGGAUGUUCGCAGGUGUGUGGGGAGGGACUGUUGAGGCCUAAGGGGGAAGGGAAGGGACCAGACCUCCCCCCCCCUCCCCGAGGCUCAGCAGGCUGCGACACCAGCUCCAAGUUGAGGGGUCUGAGAAUGUGGAGCUGAGAUACUUGUUCUGCUGCUGGAGAAGGCACUGAUGGGGUAGGACCUCCCAAGGCUGGAGCCAGGCCUUGUGGUGUUUGUCUGGGUCUAUUUACUGAUUUUCUUAGUGUAUCUCUGCUAUUUGAAAAUGGCAGCAUUUUGUUUGCUUAGAGUGUGUUAAUCAGUCUUGUGAGUCUAUUUGUGGUAUGUGUAUUUUUUAUAUGCAAAUGUGCGUGUUUAUAAUUGUGUACGUCCUGCCAUUUGUGUGUGCAUUUUAAUUUUUGUUGGUAUAUGUGUAUACUUACUUGAGACAGUGUGUAUGUGAGGACAUUUGAAUGCGUAAGUGUGCAGAUGUGUAAAAUUAUUGAUGCACGUGUGUGCUAACAUUGAUGUGGAAGUGUGCUUUAAAAAUCUGAAUGUGUAUGUGUGUGUGGUGGAGUGUGUGCAUGCUUGAGACUGUAACUGAGCUGGGUUGGGUGUGUUUGAGAAUGCAGAAUUUUACAGGUCUGUGUUUGUAUGCCUGCCUGUGUGUAUUUGUCUGGACAGGUUUUUGUUUAUGUGACUCCUGUAGGUUGGGGGGAGAGUAUAUUUGCAUUUGUGCUUGAACAUCUAGCAAUGUUUACUUUCAAGAGAUUGGAGGAGCAAGACUUCUGGGUGCCUCUGUUGGGGUACAGAGAUGUCCCCUUGUUCUCUGCUUCUCUGCAGACCCAGCCUGCCCCCUAGGCUCUAGUGGAGGGGAUCUUGCUGGGGACAGGGAAUUGCUGGUCUCUGGUCUCUGAUGAGGAGGCACUGACCCACCAGCUGGGUCUCUGAAAGAGAAGUCCCCAACCUGGGCAGCUCUGCUAGUUGGUGCUGCUACCUGGCCCUCUGUUUGUCAGGGAACAGGCAUAACAGGACACAGCCAUGGUGUAAGGCUGGGCAGAGCCCUCAGAGCCUUGCUCAGCCAAGAACAGGAAGCCUGAUUGCACCUGGCCCCCUAGGUCUGGCGAGAGCAGCUCCCAGAGCCUGAGACGGAACUGUUUCUGGCUGCACCUGGCCUGGCUGCCUAGAGCAGGAACAGUUCUCAAGCUGGGGCAGAGCAGAGAUGAAGAAACAAGGACCAGAGAGGAAGGGGAGAGAGGCGCCGCUCCGGCAAAGGCAACUGCACUGCUGUCCGCCUAGUCUUUGUCUCUCUGAGGUUUUCUUUCUCCCGAGUUCUCCCCAAUCUGUGCUCCAUCCCCAUCUCUCUCUUGUGCCCAGCAUCUGUUCUCUUCCUGUUUCCGCUGCGCUGUUUCUUCCUCCUUUUCCUUCUCUCCCUCUUUCUGUUUCUCUCCCUCUGCUUCUCUACCGCUGCCUGAGUCCAGCAUCUGGCUCAGUGCUUCUCAUUGUGUACCUUGCAGACUUCGGGGUGCGGGGGCCAGGCUCACAUCCCACACCCACACACUCUGGGGUCCGAGGAACUCCCCAUCUGGGGGCCUCCUCUGCUCUAGUCUGGCUGGACUGAGCCCACUCUCCUUUGAGCCCCCACAAGGACUCAAGGGGCCAAACCAGUGUGUGUCCCCGCCCGGGGCUGUCCACUGGUGGCCCCUGGCAGCCUGGGCUCCUGGCUCCGUCUGACUCCCUCACAAACUAUCUGCCCUCUUCUGGAUGUGCUGAAAAACCAGUGUGCCGCCAGGCCCUGGUCGCCAUGAAGCCAGCCCAGGGAGACUUCGGGGAUGGGAAGGAGCGGCUGGGGCCCGGCCUCCCCUGCCUGGUGAGGGUGGGCAGCGGGGCUGAGUCUGGUGGCCAGGACUGACCUCCCCUUCUUGUGGACCCACCCGGGGCCUCACCCUCGGUGCAGCCCAGUUCCAGAAACCCCUCUGCCAGCUGUGCAGCCAGGAAAAUUAUGCACCCUGACACCUUCCAGAGUGCCCAGCCUCAGAAACCGCUAGCAGACCAACUAUUAGGUACAUUAUCCCGCCCUAUAGCGCUAGCAGAUGGCGACCAGGCAGCGAAAUCCCUUCCUAUAAGUAACUAAUAAACCGCUUGUGUCUUAACAGGGUAAUGCAUGGAGACGCAAUGUCACUUACACAAGAUGUUGAUGGCAUUUACUAUAUAAAAACCUUCCUCCUAGAGUAAAGAGUAUCAGCAUUACAACGCGACAGACGGCGGCGGGAUAAGUAAAACAGACAGAAGACAAACAAGAUAAUAAUCUGUUUCCGAUCACUUAAGCCCUGUGGAGUUAGUAAUAUGCGGUUUGCAUAUUCCCCCUUGAGUUCGGUAAUUAAUUACGGGCGAGGAGGCGCACACCCGCAGGAGAGGGAGCGGGAAGGCUGAGUCGGGCUUGUGGGUGCUUCGGGCCACUUCUCCAGCCGAGGACGCGGGGCAGCAGCGGGACUGAGGGCCUCGCAGGCCUCAGGAGGUGCCCUUUCUGCAGGCCAAAGAGGAUUUCACUUGCAACUCCCUCCUCCUCCCGGGAAAUCUGCAUGGGGGGUUCAGCGGCCCAAAGGAGUUUGCGGGAGGUGGCUGAGCGCACAGCCGUCGGACCGGCUCCGCACCGGGCGCGGGAGUCCGCAGCGAGACAAAGACGGGAGCUGUCCGCGGUUCUGAACCGGCGCGCUGGGGCGGAGCGCAGGGCUCCUGGGGCCGGCGGCCUCCUCUUCCCCUCUCCCUCAUUGUGACCCCUGCCUCUCUAGGCGUUUAUUUCGCUUUUUUGGGGCCCCGCCUUAAAACCUAUGUCAGAUAGAUAUACGGCGGCUGAUUAAAAACGAUUUCUCCUUUCUCAAAGAAAUGGUGCAGUAGAGGUUUAUUUUAACUGUGUGCUGUAAUAGACACGUGUAGCUCUUUCCACCCCUAAGGAAGUAGGGGUUCGUGUUUAAGAAUAGUAGAAUUAACCCUACCGAAUACCAUUAAUCUGCCCUGUGGUUUAUUCUGAUGAAGAAGGCAGGGGUUUCGUUUUGAAAUUUUUGUUUUGGGCGGUCAAAUCCCUGCCACUUUAACCCCUUCCAUAGAAAAACGCAUAAGAGCUGGGGAGGCUUGGUGAUUCCACCUGAAGGCAAACCAAUGAAAGCCUACUUUGUCCCCUACGAGAAGAAAGAGGGCUUGUGAGAGUCAAAGGCAUGGACAUCAAGUUGACUUAACCCUUGGAGGCAGAAAUGAGGUCUCUGAGGACAACAGUCUUCCAGAUUAUUCAGAGGGAAGUGAUUUCUUUGGAGAGUUUGGGCACAAAAAGGGUUAAGCUGGUGCUUCCUUCUAAAAGUUCUUGGUGUAAUCGAGAUGCCUGGCAUGGUGUACCACGAGCACCAACCCCUCUGCUUGAGUCCGCAUGCUGAACUUGUUAAGUAAGUUCAUGCAGGGGAGGAAGCAAAGCCACACACUUGCACUGUGGGGCCAGCACCCUUUCCUGAACCCAGCACCUUCCAGAGACUCCCCAGCACCCUGACCACCUCUUCAUCUGCUCUUCUCAGUGACACCAAGUCAUCUGGAGAGAAGUCCCAGAGCAUUUGAUGCAAUACGGUUCUCUGGAUCCCAUCUGGAUAUCACAGAGCUAACCCAUCCAUGGAGACAGAAGAACCGAACUCUCAACCCAGAGUGAUUUGCAAUAAAGGGCUGCAUCCUUGGGUUAGAACAAUCCAUGGCACUCUAGUUCCUCCAACUCUGCCUGUUACCUUCCUACUCAUUCAUCCUGAAGUCUUUAAUUAAGACCAAAGUGAUCUUCCCUCCACAUACCCUUCAGCCUCUCAGAAUGUGUUGACCUGGAGUGGUAAAAGAAAAGAAAAAAAUAAAGUCUUUUUUUUUUUUUUGCAAUGACCAUUAUGCAAUUCGAC